rnacentral:lncRNA from 1 species
UGGAGGGUUUCUUGUUCUUGGUGUUGAUGUUUUUGUUUGGUACGAGGAAAGGAGUGUGGUGGUUGGUUUUGAGUGAGAGAGGGAGAGAAGAAGAGGGAGGAGGGGGUGGAGUGAAGGAAGGAGGAGAAGAAGGAGAAGAAGAAGAAGGAGGAGGAGGAGAAGGGAAAGAGGAAGAGAGAAGCUUGUCGAGUUUUUCUUGGAGACAGAAGGCACAGAUGGCCCCAGGGUUGCUGUGAUGGUGGUGAAUGCAUUGC